rnacentral:rRNA from 1 species
CCUACGGGUGGCAGCAGUGAGGAAUAUUGGUCAAUGGACGAGAGUCUGAACCAGCGACGUAGCGUGAAGGAUGACUGCCCUAUGGAUUGUAAACUUCUUUUAUAUGGGAGUAAAAUGUUCCACGUGUGGGAUUUUGUAUGUACCAUAUGAAUAAGGAUCGGCUAACUACGUGCCAGCAGCCGCGGUAAUACGGAGGAUCCGAGCGUUAUCCGGAUUUAUUGGGUUUAAAGGGAGCGUAGGUGGAUUGUUAAGUCUGUUGUGAAAGUUUGCGGCUCAACCGUAAAAUUGCAGUGGAAACUGGCAGUCUUGAGUACAGUAGAGGUGGGCGGAAUUCGUGGUGUAGCGGUGAAAUGCUUAGAUAUUACGAAGAACUCCGAUUGCGAAGGCAGUUCACUGGACUGUAACUGACACUGAGGCUCGAAAGUGUGGGUAUCAAACAGGAUUAGAUACCCUUGUAGUC